rnacentral:misc_RNA from 1 species
UUUCCGUAGGUGAACCUGCGGAAGGAUCAUUAAUGUAACCGGACCGUUCCUUUGCCGUAAAACGCACUGGAUUGGAAAGGGAGAUAUCAUACACCCUAUGUUUAUUUACCUUUGUUGCUUUGGUGGGCCGUCCUUUACGGCGUCGGCCUCGGCUGAUCGCGCCCGCCAGAGGACCCAAACUCUUUUAUUAGUGAUGUCUGAGUACUAUAUAAUAGUUAAAACUUUCAACAACGGAUCUCUUGGUUCUG